AGAACGAACGCUGGCGGCAGGCCUCAAACAUGCAAGUCUAGGGGGUGUAGCAAUACAUCACCGGCGGACGGGUGCGUAACACGUGGGAAUAUACCUUUUGGUUCGGAACAACGCAGGGAAACUUGCGCUAAUACCGAAUGUGCCCUUACGGGGAAAGAUUUAUCGCCAAAGGAUUAGCCCGCGUAGGAUUAGCUAGUUGGUGAGGUAAUGGCUCACCAAGGCUCCGAUCCUUAGCUGUUCUGAGAGGAAGAUCAGCCACACUGGGACUGAGACACGGCCCAGACUCCUACGGGAGGCAGCAGUUGGGAAUCUUGGACAAUGGGGGAAACCCUGAUCCAGCCAUGCCGCGUGAGUGAUGAAGGCCUUCGGGUUGUAAAACUCUUUCGACGGGGACGAUAAUGACGGUACCCGUAGAAGAAGCUCCGGCUAACGUUCGCGCCAGCAGCCGC
rnacentral:rRNA from 1 species